AAGGUACUCCCUCCGUUCCGAAUUACUUGUCGCACGUAUGGAUGUAUCUAGAUGUAUUUUAGUUCUAGAUACAUCCAUUUCAGCGACAAGUAAUUUGGAACGGAGGGAGUACAAA
rnacentral:pre_miRNA from 1 species